GAUGAAGAACGCAGCGAAAUGCGAUACGUAAUGUGAAUUGCAGAAUUCAGUGAAUCAUCGAAUCUUUGAACGCAUAUUGCGCUCUCUGGUAUUCCGGAGAGCAUGCUUGUUUGAGUAUCAGUAAACACCUCAACUCCCUUUUCUUUUGAAAUUGGAGCUGGACUUGAGUGAUCCCAACGCUUUCUUCCAAGAAAGUGGCGGGUUGCUUGAAAUGCAGGUGCAGCUGAACUUUUCUCUGAGCUAUAAGCAUAUCUAUUUAGUCUGCCUAAAAAACAGAUUAUUACCUUUGCUGCAGCUAACAUAAAGGAGACUAGUUCUUGUGCUGACUGAUGCAGGAUUCACAGAGACAGCUUCGGCUGACUUUGUAAACUCGAUCUCAAAUCAAGUAAGACUACCCGCUGAACUUAAGCAUAUCAAUAAGCGGAGGA
rnacentral:misc_RNA from 1 species